ensembl:snRNA U6 U6 spliceosomal RNA
GUGCUUGCUUUGGCAGCACAUAUACUAAAAUUGGAACGACACAGAUAAGAUUAGCAUGGCCCCCACAAGGGUGACACACAAAUUCAUGAAGCGUUCCACAUUUUU